rnacentral:rRNA from 1 species
GAUGAACGCUGACAGAAUGCUUAACACAUGCAAGUCAACUGUGGCGGACGGGUGAGUAACGCGUAAAGAACUUGCCUCACGGAUAGGGACAACAUUUGGAAACGAAUGCUAAUACCUGAUACUGUGAGAGAGCUUUGCGUCCCAUGAGCUAGUUGGAGAGGUAACGGCUCACCAAGGCGAUGAAGGGUAGCCGGCCUGGGAGGGUGAUCGGCCACAAGGGGACUGGGACACCGCCCUUACUCCAACGGGAGGCAGCAGUGAGGAAUAUUUGACGAUGGGCCAAAGUCUGAUCAAGCAAUUCUGUGUGCACGAUGAAGUUUUCGGAAUGUAAAGUGCUUUCAGUUGGUAAGCGGUACCAACAGAAGAAGUGACGGCUAACUACGUGCCAGCAGCCGCGGUAAUAC